rnacentral:rRNA from 1 species
AUUGAACGCUGGCGGCAGGCCUAACACAUGCAAGUCGAACGAGUGGCGGACGGGUGAGUAAUGUCUGGGAAACUGCAUGAUGGAGGGGGAUAACUACUGGAAAAGGUAGCUAAUACCGCAUACCAUCAGAUGGGCACAGAUGGGAUUAGCUUGUUGGUGGGGUAACGGCUCACCAAGGCGGAGAUCCAUAGCAGGUCUGAGAGGAUGAACAGCCACACUGGAACUGAGACACGGUCCAGACUCCUACGGGAGGCAUCAGUGGGGAAUAUUGCACAAUGGGCUCAAGCCUGAUGCAGCCAUGCCUCGUGUAUGAAGUAGGCCUUCGGGUUGUAAAGUACUUUCAGCGGGGAGGCGUUACCCUCAGAAGAAGCACCGGCUAACUCCGUGCCAGCAGCCGCGGUAAUUC